rnacentral:rRNA from 1 species
UACAGAGACUGCAAGCGUUAUUCGGAUUCACUGGGCGUAAAGGGUGCGUAGGUGGCGCUGUAAGUCGGGUGUGAAAUUUCGGAGCUUAACUCCGAAACUGCAUUCGAUACUGCCGUGCUUGAGGACUGGAGAGGAGACUGGAAUUUACGGUGUAGCGGUGAAAUGCGUAGAUAUCGUAAGGAAGACCAGUGGCGAAGGCGGGUCUCUGGACAGUUCCUGACGCUGAGGCACGAAGGCCAGGGGAGCAAACGGG